AUUGAACGCUGGCGGCAUGCUUUACACAUGCAAGUCGAACGGUAACAGGCCUUCGGGUGCUGACGAGUGGCGAACGGGUGAGUAAUGCAUCGGAACGUGCCCAUAUGUGGGGGAUAACGCAGCGAAAGCUUUGCUCAUACAGCAUGUGAUCUGUGGAUGAAAGCGGGGGACCACGCAACACUGUUUGGCCUCACGCCUCUGGAGCGGCCGAUGUCAGAUUAGCUAGUUGGUGGGGUAAAGGCCUACCAAGCCGACGAUCUGUAGCUGGUCUGAGAGGACGACCAGCCACACUGGAACUGAGACACGGCCCAGACUCCUACGGGAGGCAGCAGUGGGGAAUUUUGGACAAUGGGCGCAAGCCUGAUCCAGCAAUGCCGCGUGAGGGAAGAAGGCCUUCGGGUUGUAAACCGCUUUUGUACGGAAAGAAAAGGCUCUGGCUAAUACCUGGGGCUGAUGACGGUACCGUAAGAAUAAGCACCGGCUAACUACGUG
rnacentral:rRNA from 1 species